AGAGUUUGAUCAUGGCUCAGAACGAACGCUGGCGGCGUGCCUAACACAUGCAAGUCGAGCGCGAAUGGAGCAAUCCUAGUAGAGCGGCGCACGGGUGCGUAACACGUGGGUAAUCUGCCUCAGAGCCUGGAAUAACCUGCCGAAAAGCUGGCUAAUACCAGAUAAGACUACGGGGUCUUUGGACCCUGAAGUAAAAGGUGGCCUCUGUAUACAAGCUAUCACUCUGAGAUGAGCCCGCGGCCCAUCAGCUAGUUGGCGGGGUAACGGCCCACCAAGGCAACGACGGGUAGCUGGUCUGAGAGGACGAUCAGCCACACUGGAACUGAGACACGGUCCAGACUCCUACGGGGAGGCAGCAGUGGGGAAUUUUGCACAAUGGGCGAAAGCCUGAUGCAGCAACGCCGCGUGUGUGAUGAAGGUCUUCGGAUCGUAAAGCACUUUCGAUCGGGACGAAAACCCGUUGGCUAACAUCCAGCGGUUUGACUGUACCGAGAGAAGAAGCACCGGCUAACUCUGUGCAGCAGCCGCGGUAAUACAGAGGGUGCAAGCGUUGUUCGGAAUUAUUGGGCGUAAAGCGCGUGUAGGCGGCUUGGCAAGUCGGGUGUGAAAUCCCUCAGCUCAACUGAGGAAGUGCGCCCGAAACUGCUUUGCUUGAGUGCCGGAGAGGAUGGCGGAAUUCCCCAAGUAGAGGUGAAAUUCGUAGAUAUGGGGAGGAACACCGGUGGCGAAGGCGGCCAUCUGGACGGUUACUGACGCUGAGACGCGAAAGCGUGGGGAGCAAACAGGAUUAGAUACCCUAGUAGUCC
rnacentral:rRNA from 1 species